UGAGUAACCUGCCCUUAACUCUGGGAUAAGCCUGGGAAACUGGGUCUAAUACCGGAUAUGACUCCUCAUCGCAUGGGUGGGGGGUGGAAAGCUUUUUGUGGUUUUGGAUGGACUCGCGGCCUAUCAGCUUGUUGGUGAGGUAACGGCCCACCAAGGCGACGACGGGUAGCUGGUCUGAGAGGAUGGCCCAGCCACAUUGGGACUGAGACACGGCCCAGACCUCCGUACGGGGAGCAG
rnacentral:rRNA from 1 species